AUGUAAUAUAGUAAAUACUGAUUGACAAUAAAUUUUAAUGGUCCAACUAUAAAAAAGCCAUAAUUAUUUCCCUAAAUAUUAAAUAAAAGCUAGUGACUCCAAACACUGUACUCAAUGACUCUUCAAUAAGCUUACUCUAUAAGAAGGAUUGAAAGUGGAAAUAAAGUAUUUGUAGAAGGUAAGUUUCAGAAUAGAAAAAAUUGGGCUGGGAAUGUGGCUUAGCAGUAGAGUGCUUUCCU